rnacentral:rRNA from 1 species
UAGGGAAUCUUCGGCAAUGGACGAAAGUCUGACCGAGCAACGCCGCGUGAGUGAAGAAGGUUUUCGGAUCGUAAAACUCUGUUGUUAGAGAAGAACAAGGACGUUAGUAACUGAACGUCCCCUGACGGUAUCUAACCAGAAAGCCACGGCUAACUACGUGCCAGCAGCCGCGGUAAUACGUAGGUGGCAAGCGUUGUCCGGAUUUAUUGGGCGUAAAGCGAGCGCAGGCGGUUUCUUAAGUCUGAUGUGAAAGCCCCCGGCUCAACCGGGGAGGGUCAUUGGAAACUGGGAGACUUGAGUGCAGAAGAGGAGAGUGGAAUUCAAUGUGUAGCGGUGAAAUGCGUAGAUAUAUGGAGGAAAACCAGUGGCGAAGGCGGCUCUCUGGUCUGUAACUGACGCUGAGGCUCGAAAGCGUGGGGAGCAAACAGG